AUUAUAUCGUAUUAUAUUAUUGUAUAACAUAUAUGCAUAUUAUAACGUAGUUUGUACGCAUUAGUUUUUUUUUUAUAUUAAUCCGUCACAAUAAACCGUACGUUACGCGUCGAUCAGACACUGUAACACAAAUACCGUUGCAUUGUAAUAUCACGCACGUUUCUCGAGCAGGACUGGUCCGUUUAUUGUUUUUUCCGCGUUUCCCUCCUCCCCCCCCCCACAAGUUUUUCGCCUUUCGAGUUUUGAACGAGGUUCGUGACGGUUUUAAACGUCCAACUUGCGUUCGAUCGUCGGCGUAUGAAUGUGUCGAGAGAGAAAAAAAAAAAAAUUCCGUAUUAUUUUUCAAUAAUAUCGUAUCGUGACAUUAUGCCGUCGGUAAUGAUUUAAUAUCGCGCGCGCGACAACUUCACAGCGAUCAUGUGCACGCGCCUACGCCGAUACGCAAUAUGUACCCUACGCCUGUUAAUCGUAAUGUUAUAUGAUUUUUUUUAGCGCUAAGCGCACUUAAAUUUAUUUAUCGAGAACCCGGCCGAUUCGUUUGAUGUUUCGGGCGGUUUACUAGUAAAAUAACUCCUUAAGUACGUUGAAGAAGUACGCAGUACAUAUUGUAUAGAGUUUUUUUUUUUUCCUUUUUUUUUUUUUUGUUCUCUAAUGGAAUGUUCCUCGAUAAAUUUCUUAUUUGAAAUUCGUAAGUUUGGCAAAUUACAAUAUAAGAGAUUUUAAUUAUUAUUAUUGUUUACUAUUAUAUUUUUUUUUUUGAAAAUGUCCCCCCUAUCUAUAUAUAAGAAAAGCGGGACUAGCCUGCGUAAAAAAAAAAAAAAAAAAAACUUACCAUUUAAUACACGCGAAAACAUAAUGUUACUUAUUAUUGUUUUUUUUUUUUUAAACAUAAUAUUAUAUAAUAUUUUUCGAUUUAUGUCAGUUUGUAUAAUAUUCAUAUACAUAUAUAUAACAGAAUAUACGAAUUGAUAUUAUUUCGAAUUUUGUAAAUAUGUAACCAGUUAUAUAAUAUAAAUAUAUUGUUAGACAUUAUUAGAUAUUUUAAAGUUUUAAUCUUUGUCUGUAUCAUAAUAAUUACGUGUUGACAUUAAAAUAAAAAUAUAUUAUUUAUUUGUAAAUGAUAAA